rnacentral:piRNA from 2 species
UGAGAGGUCCAGGGAAGAACCAAAAGC